rnacentral:tRNA from 1 species
UCCUUCUUAGCUCAGCUGGUUAGAGCAUCUGACUGUUAAUCAGUCCCGACGAGUCGGGAUAGGUUCAAGUCCUGGAGAGGGAGCAA